rnacentral:rRNA from 1 species
GGUAUCGCCGUUAGUCAUGUGCAAAUAUGGAUAGCUGUUUUAGCCGUCUUUAUUGACUGGUUUAUAAGAGUUAUCAGAUAUCACUUUGAUUAAAUUAGAGUGCUUAAAGCAAGUGUGUUACUUGGAUAUAAAUGCAUGGAAUGAUGGAAUAUGUUGUUAUUCUAUUUGUUGGUUUUUGAAUGAUAAAAUGAUUGAAAGGAACUGUUGGGGGCAUUCGUAUUGUUGUGAGAGAGGUGAAAUUCUUAGACCACAGCAAGACGAACUACUGCGAAAGCAUUUGCCAAGAAUGUUUUCAUUGAUCAAGAACGAAAGUUAGAGGUUCGAAGGCGAUCAGAUACCGCUCUAGUUCUAACCAUAAACUAUGCCAACUAGCAAUUUGCUUAUGUAUGUUUUAUGACUAGGUGAGAGGCCACGGGAAACCAAAGUAGGGUUAUGGGGGAAGUAUGGUUGCAAAGCUGAAACUUAAAGGAAUUGACGGAAGGGCACCACCAGGAGUGGAGCCUGCGGCUUAAUUUGACUCAACACGGGAAAACUUACCUGGUCCUGACACUAGAAGGAUCGACAGAUUGAUAGCUCUUUCUUGAUUUGGUGGAUGGUGGUGCAUGGCCGUUCUUAGUUGGUGGAGUGAUUUGUCUGGUUAAUUCCGAUAACGAACGAGACUCUAGCCUAUUAAAUAACACACAGAAUCAUGUCUUCUGCGGUGUUUCUUAAUGGGAUCAAGUG